GAUGAACGCUGGCGGCGUGCCUAAUACAUGCAAGUCGAGCGAACGGACGAGAAGCUUGCUUCUCUGAUGUUAGCGGCGGACGGGUGAGUAACACGUGGAUAACCUACCUAUAAGACUGGGAUAACUUCGGGAAACCGGAUCUAAUACCGGAUGAUCUUUUGCACCGCAUGGUUCAAAAGUGAAAGACGGUCUUUCUGUCACUUAUAGAUGGUUCCGCGCUGCAUUAGCUAGUUGGUAAGGUAACGGCUUACCAAGGCAACGAUGCAUAGCCGACCUGACAGGGUGAUCGGCCACACGGGAAGUGAGACACGGUCCAGACGCCUACGGGAGGCAGCAGUAGGGAAUCUUCCGCAAUGGGCGAAAGCCUGACGGAGCAACGCCGCGUGAGUGAUGAAGGUCUUCGGAUCGUAAAACUCUGUUAUUAGGGAAAAACAGAUGUGGAAGUAACUGUGCACAGCUUGACGGUACCUAAUCAGAAAGCCACGGCUAACUACGUG
rnacentral:rRNA from 1 species